rnacentral:rRNA from 1 species
CAGCCCUAAACGAUGCGCGUUAGGUGUAUCGGUGACCACGAGUCACCGAGGUGCCGAAGGGAAACCGUGAAACGUGCCGCCUGGGAAGUACGGUCGCAAGGCUGAAACUUAAAGGAAUUGGCCGGGGGGAGCACCAACAACGGGUGGAGCCUGCGGUUUAAUUGGACUCAACGCCGGGAAGCUCACCGGAUAAGACAGCGGAAUGAUUGCCGGGCUGAAGACCCUGCAUGACCAGCUGAGAGGAGGUGCAUGGCGUAGUCGUGU